rnacentral:rRNA from 1 species
GAUGAACGCUGGCGGCGUGCCUAAUACAUGCAAGUCGAGCGAACGGACGAGAAGCUUGCUUCUCUGAUGUUAGCGGCGGACGGGUGAGUAACACGUGGAUAACCUACCUAUAAGACUGGGAUAACUUCGGGAAACCGGAGCUAAUACCGGAUAAUAUUUUGAACCGCAUGGUUCAAAAGUGAAAGACGGUCUUGCUGUCACUUAUAGAUGGAUCCGCGCUGCAUUAGCUAGUUGGUAAGGUAACGGCUUACCAAGGCAACGAUGCGUAGCCGACCUGAGAGGGUGAUCAGCCACACUGGAACUGAGACACGGUCCAGACUCCUACGGGAGGCAGCAGUAGGGAAUCUUCCGCAAUGGGCGAAAGCCUGACGGAGCAACGCCGCGUGAGUGAUGAAGGUCUUCGGAUCGUAAAACUCUGUUAUUAGGGAAGAACAUAUGUGUAAGUAACUGUGCACAUCUUGACGGUACCUAAUCAGAAAGCCACGGCUAACUACGUG